rnacentral:tRNA from 1 species
UGGGGUAUAGCUCAGAGGUAGAGCACUUGCCUAUCAUGCAUGAGGCCCUGGGUUUGAUCCCCAGCACUUAAA